AAAUGCGAUAAGUAAUGUGAAUUGCAGAAUUCAGUGAAUCAUCGAAUCUUUGAACGCACAUUGCGCCCGCCAGUAUUCUGGCGGGCAUGCCUGUUCGAGCGUCAUUUCAACCCUCAAGCCCCCGGGUUUGGUGUUGGGGAUCGGGCUGCGGUUCUGCCGCGUCCCGGCCCCGAAAUCUAGUGGCGGUCUCGCUGCAGCCUCCAUUGCGUAGUAGCUAACACCUCGCAACUGGAACGCGGCGCGGCCAAGCCGUUAAACCCCCAACUUCUGAAUGUUGACCUCGGAUCAGGUAGGAAUACCCGCUGAACUUAAGC
rnacentral:misc_RNA from 1 species